rnacentral:rRNA from 1 species
GCAUGGCUGUCGUCAGUUCGUUCCGUGAGGAGUGCCCUUAAGUGGGACAACGAACGUAACCCUUGUCCCGAGUUACACGUAUCUCGGGAGACUGCCCCGCCGAUGGCGGGGAGGAAGGAGAGGCAGACGUCAAGUCAGCAUGACGCUUAUGCCCUGGGCGACACACAUGUUACAAUGAGAUGGACAAUGGGUUGCUAAACGGUAACGCGGAGCUAAUCCUAUAAACCAUCUCUCAGUGGGGAUUGAGGUCUGAAACUCGACCUCAUGAACGUGGAAUUAGUAGUAAUCGCGGAUCAGCCAUGCCGCGGUGAAUACGUUCUUGUCUCUUGCACACACUGCCCGUCAAGCCAACAAAGUCGGGAGUACCUGAACCCUGCUUUUGCGGGGGAGGGUAAGACCGGCGAUGGGGACUAAGUCGUAACAAGGUACCCGUUCUGGAAGGAGCGGGUGAAUCACCUCCUUUCUAU